rnacentral:tRNA from 1 species
GUUGGCGUAGCUUAACUAAAGCAUAACACUGAAGCUGUUAAAAUGGACCCUAGAAAGUCCCGCGAGCA